CUGGCUGUUGACCCCGUCCAAUUCCUUGUCCUUCCAUUGUCAGAAAUUGUAACAUUGUGUUGUGCCCUGGCAAUAUAUAUACUUGCCAGUUGAUGGUUCAUGAGAUGCACCUUUGAGCGAUUUCAGAAAAGUGGUUGAUCAUUGGUUGAUCUAAUGCUUCACACAUUUCCCACCGUUAGAGAAAGUCAAGAUUCACCUGGGAGCAAUUUACCAAUUCAGGACAGAUUCAAGAAACGUCUAAUGGAAAUGUAUAGAAAUAUGCUUGACAUAUUAUGACAGCUUGUUCAACCAUUUUGCGUGUAAAGACUUAUGCAAUGAACUAAUGCCUAAAUGUUGUGGGGGGUGAGACUAUUCAACAGAGACCCAUUAUAAUACAUUUUGAUCAACAUGACAUAAGCAAUUGAUAAUGUAGAAAACUGCAGAAAAUUGUACAUAAUCAUUUGCAUGACUGUACCAAAGCAUUUGCAAGUUGUUCAAAGAAAUGAGAAACUGCUUUUUUAAUGUGCACAAGUGGCACAAUGAUGUGAAAAUUGAACACGUAGUUUUGAGAAUUUCAAUUCUGAUCUGAGAAAUGUACCAAAGC